ACCGAAUUAUACUCAUCGCGUCAACGACAAGGGCCUUAUUGUCCUGCACAAACCAAAAUCGCUCCUAUGAGCGAUUAUAGGUAGCAUACAGUUCGUGGACAUCCAAAGCACCAGAAGCUGGUCCAAGCUCCUCUUCAGUACCCAUGUCUAUAGAUUGAAGAGGAAGAAGAGGGCGGCAUAAUUUUCUCGCUGAACUAAGUGAUACUUCACGUGGAACCUAGAUCCCAGGGGAAUCAAAAAUACUUCAGAGUGAGAAGUCAUUACCAGUGAAGAAGUAUUAAGCGGCCACAGUAUAAGGAACAAAAGCGGCCACCAAACACCGAGAUACUUCCUUGUCCACGACCCACAGAGAGAGGGUUAAGUUAAGUGCAAGUUUACCAGUUUAGAAGCUUAACUGAUUAACGUAACAUUACAGCGUGUUUACGGUUUUAAGAUUUUUUAAUAAAAAAUUAAAGGUAAUUAAAUUUUUCGUUUGAGAUAAUAUUAAAAUUGAAUUAAUAUAAAGUAUUGCUGGUCCAUGAACCACAGAUUUGUGAUUUGUUGACCCGUGAGCCUUGGUGUGUCAGGGGAGACUAUUAGAUGUACUCUGUCUGCAAUACUGUACUGUACUAACACCUGCCCCGCCAGUGCUGGAAACGUAUAACGGUGCCAACUUCAGGUAGUGAGACACACCGAGGCUUGUUAAUUAUUCGGCUCUAGGGUCCAGUUCUACUAACACACAUUUACAGGGUAGGUCCUAAUGUCUGUGUUGUGUUGUAGUUAGCACAGAUGAGUAGUACUUUUAUGUCUCUUCACCUCAAGAUGCAAAGAAGACAAAGUGAAGAAACAGGAAGAAAGUAAGAUGGUGGGAAGAAAAAUGCCUGAAGCAGUACUGAGAAUAUUACCACCGCCACCUAACACAC